rnacentral:rRNA from 1 species
GACGAACGCUGGCGGCGUGCUUAACACAUGCAAGUCGAGCGGUAAGGCCCUUUCGGGGGUACGACGAGCGGCGAACGGGUGAGUAACACGUGGGUGACCUGCCCUUACGCUCUGGGAUAAGCCUGGGAAACUGGGUCUAAUACCGGAUAUGACUCCAUGACGCAUGUUGUGGGGUGGGAAAGCCUUGUGCGGCUAGGGAUGGGCCCGCGGCCUAUCAGCUUGUUGGUGGGGUGAUGGCCUACCAAGGCGACGACGGGUAGCCGGCCUGAGAGGGCGACCGGCCACACUGGGACUGAGACACGGCCCAGACUCCUACGGGAGGGCAGCAGUGGGGAAUCUUGCGCAAUGGGCGAAAGCCUGACGCAGCGACGCCGCGUGAGGGAUGACGGCCU